GACGAACGCUGGCGGCGUGCUUAACACAUGCAAGUCGAACGGAGAUUAUUAAUGAAGCUUGCGAUUUAAUAAUCUUAGUGGCGGACGGGUGAGUAACGCGUGGGCAACCUACCCAUAAGCGGGGGAUAACAGUCGGAAACGACUGCUAAUACCGCAUAAGCUAUUAAGGUCGCAUGACCUAAAUAGUAAAGGUGGCAUUUUAACAGUGCUAUCACUUAUGGAUGGGCCCCGCGUCUGAUUAGCUAGUUGGUGGGGUAGGCAGCCUACCAAGGCAACGAUCAGUAGCCGGCCUGAGAGGGUGGACGGCCACACUGGGACUGAGACACGGCCCAGACUCCUACGGGAGGCAGCAGUGGGGAAUAUUGCGCAAUGGGGGAAACCCUGACGCAGCGACGCCGCGUGAGCGAAGAAGGCCUUAGGGUCGUAAAGCUCUGUUGUAAGGGACGAAUGUUGUCUGGCGAACAGUCAGAUAAAGUGACGGUACCUUACCAGCAAGCCCCGGCUAACUACG
rnacentral:rRNA from 1 species